rnacentral:tRNA from 1 species
GGUCGCGUAACUCAGUUGGCAGAGCAUUGGGCUGGUAUUCCAAAGGUCGUGGGUUCGAUUCCCACCGUGGUCA